CCUACGGGAGGCAGCAGUGAGGAAUAUUUGUCAAUGGCCGAGAGGCUGAACCAGCCAAGUCGCGUGAGGGAAGAAUGUCCUAUGGAUUGUAAACCUCUUUUGUCAGGGAGCAAAGUCACCCACGUGUGGGGGUUGGAGAGUACCUGAAGAAAAAGCAUCGGCUAACUCCGUGCCAGCAGCCGCGGUAAUACGGAGGAUGCGAGCGGUAUCCGGAUUUAUUGGGUUUAAAGGGGGCGUAGGUGGGUUAUCAAGUACGCGGUAAAAUCGUGGAGCUAAACUCCAUCCAGCCGUUGAUACUGGUGAUCUUGAGUGUGCGAGAAGUAUGCGGAAUGCGUGGUGUAGCGGUGACAUGCUUAGA
rnacentral:rRNA from 1 species